rnacentral:rRNA from 1 species
AGCGAACGCUGGCGGCAGGCUUAACACAUGCAAGUCGAGCGGGCCUUUCGGGGUCAGCGGCGGACGGGUGAGUAACGCGUGGGAACGUGCCCUCUGGUUCGGAAUAACUCAGGGAAACUUGAGCUAAUACCGGAUACGCCCUUUUGGGGAAAGGCUUGCUGCCGGAGGAUCGGCCCGCGUCUGAUUAGCUAGUUGGUGAGGUAACGGCUCACCAAGGCGACGAUCAGUAGCUGGUCUGAGAGGAUGAUCAGCCACAAUGGGACUGAGACACGGCCCAGACUCCUACGGGAGGAAGCAGUGGGGAAUAUUGGACAAUGGGCGCAAGGCUGAUCCAGCCAUGCCGGGUGAGUGAUGAAGGCCUUAGGGUUGUAAAGCUCUUUUAUCCGGGACGAUAAUGACGGUACCGGAGGAAUAAGCCCCGGCUAACUUCGUG